AUUGAACGCUGGCGGCAGGCCUAACACAUGCAAGUCGAGCGGUAGAGAGGUGCUUGCAUCUCUUGAGAGCGGCGGACGGGUGAGGUAAUGCCUAGGAAUCUGCCUAGUGGUGGGGGAUAACGUUCGGAAACGGACGCUAAUACCGCAUACGUCCUACGGGAGAAAGCGGGGGAUCUUCGGACCUCGCGCCAUUAGAUGAGCCUAGGUCGGAUUAGCUAGUUGGUGAGGUAAAUGGGCUCACCAAGGCGACGAUCCGUAACUGGUCUGAGAGGAUGAUCAGUCACACUGGAACUGAGACACGGUCCAGACUCCUACGGGAGGCAGCAGUGGGGGAAUAGUUGGACAAUGGGCGAAAG
rnacentral:rRNA from 1 species